CAACCCGCCUGCGUGAAGUCGGAAUCGCUAGUAAUCGCGGAUCAGCAUGCCGCGGUGAAUACGUUCCCGGGCCUUGUACACACCGCCCGUCACACCAUGAGAGUCGGGAACACCCGAAGUCCGUAGCCUAACCGUAAGGGGGGCGCGGCCGAAGGUGGGUUCGAUAAUUGGGGUGAAGUCGUAACAAGGUAAC
rnacentral:rRNA from 1 species